rnacentral:lncRNA from 1 species
ACCACGAUGACUGUAGUUGCCGCACUCAGAUCAGAACGGCAGCCACGGUAUAUGAUCAAGCCUUUACUGUCGUCCUCUGAAUUUGGGAUCACGUGCAUCUGCAAGAGAAAGAGCAUGAGAGCCUAAGAGGGUAGUACCACGUUACGAACAAGUUGAUUUUUAUCCAUGGAAUUGAUCUGAUGCGAAGCUGAUGCCACAUAAAAGGUUAACUGAGUUCUUAUCUCCAAUAUGUCAUGAUGUUACAGUUCAAUUAUUUUCACCUCUCUAGCUACUAUGCACGGAAGGUGUUUGCUAAUUUGCACAAUGAUAUUUUCUGGUAAAAUACGCUAAUAUUACCUUCAUUUUUUCACAUUUUAGUGAUGUCCUCUUAUUAAUCCCUUAUAUAAUCAAAUCUGAUAUGUAUUUGUUCAUCUAGGCAUCUAGCUGCAGGUGGAAUAACAAGAUUCAGUGUGUGCAACGACAACAAUAAAUAACAUGUCAUUAGGGAGAUUUCUGACAAUUGAACCCUGCAUUUUUUUGGCAUUAGUACAACUGUUCUACUGCAUUAUUCAACUAUGCGCGAUGAAGCUGAUAUAGGGUGUGGACUAGACAAUUUAUUCAGUUUUCUUCAAGAAGGUAUGCAGAUUGGGCAUCAAAGUAGACGACAAAAGAUGCUGCACCUUACAACUUAAAAAUUGAAAGAUACUUUCUAUUUUAUAUUGAUGUGAUCGCCAGCGAGAACAAUUUUUUGACUGAAUUUGUUUCAUUAAAGUGAAGUUGUUCGGACUUUUCUUUGAAUGUUUCUUUUAGUUGCGUAAAAAAGCAUUGUGGGUAAUGUUAUUUUGAGCUGAUUAUGAGUAAUGUUUGGUUCCAUGCAGGACCAAGGAAUGAACACAAAGCAAAUUAUAACUCUCAGGUUCAUGGUUUAGGAGCAGGAAAGAACACUUCCAAUUGUGUAGAUGGGUCAUCAGUAGCAUUUCUCUAAUUAUUCUUAUAGAGACUGAUUUGGAUUGUUGAAGGAAAGGAUCUCAAUUCUCAAUAGCAAACUGCACUGGGACAUCUUGGACCUAUUCUCCACAUUUCUGAGCUAGGUUAGUUGGACAGCAUGUCAUGGGGGGAAACCAUUUCUUCCUUCCAAUCCGUGGGCUAAAUUUGUUAUCACCAUAUGUUUUAAAUUUUGUGUCAUCCUUGAACUUUUGAGGAAUUGUUAGAUAUGUUGGUGAGCGGGCAGGCGGUGCUAGACAUGGCAGGGCAAGAGAGCACGAGGGAGAAUGUCGAAGGGGGCAACAUAAAUGAGAGUUCACCGUUAUGCUCAUGUGGUC